GAUGGAGGUCACAUAUUACCGUCAGCGCCGUGAUAUAAACGCCACUCCACCACUGUCACCACUGUCUGGCCUUACCUGUUUUGUCUGAAGGGGAUCUUUUUACAUUUCCAAUUGCUUACAGACAUCUCACUACUACAAAAAAUCAUGGAGAGCAUUGAAGGGAAAGGAAUGAGGAUUCUAAGAUUUUUUUUCAAGAAAAGCCAACAAACAAAGAGGUGUAUGCUGUUCUGUCAGAGUAUCAAGAGGGAAAUUCUCUGGUCCUGUGCAUCUUGAAACUCUUAAUGGCCCAUUUCAAAGAGAGAACAGAAUCACUUCUAAUUGAAGCUGAUCAACUGCAGCCGACAUGGAAAGAGAGGGAUUACCGGAUUCACCCGCACUGAUCAUCCAAGGUGAAUCCAUGACCCCAAGCAAGUGGAUGUUGUCCGUCGAGAGGGAAGUUGUCCUGGGCCCAUUUUCAGAGGCAUUUGUUGAGGGCCUGGCAGCAUUGUUUGCGACCUAUUAGAACUUAAAUCUUGCUUAUCAGGAUGACGCUGCAUGCACACUGGAAUUUAUUCAGAGGUAU
ensembl:lncRNA